GAUGAACGCUGACAGAAUGCUUAACACAUGCAAGUCAACUUGAACUUCGGUUUGGGUGGCGGACGGGUGAGUAACGCGUAAAGAACUUGCCUCACAGAUAGGGACAACAUUUGGAAACGAAUGCUAAUACCUGAUAUUAUGAUUAUAUGGCAUCGUAUAAUUAUGAAAGCUAUAUGCGCUGUGAGAGAGCUUUGCGUCCCAUUAGCUAGUUGGAGAGGUAACGGCUCACCAAGGCGAUGAUGGGUAGCCGGCCUGAGAGGGUGAUCGGCCACAAGGGGACUGGGGCACGGCCCUUACUCCUACGGGAGGCAGCAGUGGGGAAUAUUGGACAAUGGACCAAGAGUCUGAUCCAGCAAUUCUGUGUGCACGAUGAAGUUUUUCGGAAUGUAAAGUGCUUUCAGUUGGGAAGAAAAAAAUGACGGUACCAACAGAAGAAGUGACGGCUAAAUACGUG
rnacentral:rRNA from 1 species